rnacentral:tRNA from 1 species
GGGCCCGUAGCUUAGUCUGGGGGAGCGAUGGUCUUAUACACCAUUGGUCGGCGGUUCAAAUCCGCCCGGGCUCA